rnacentral:rRNA from 1 species
UGGGGAAUAUUGCACAAUGGGCGCAAGCCUGAUGCAGCAACGCCGCGUGAACGAUGAAGGUCUUCGGAUCGUAAAGUUCUGUUGCAGGGGAAGAUAAUGACGGUACCCUGUGAGGAAGCCCCGGCUAACUACGUUCCAGCAGCCGCGGUAAUACGUAUGGGGCUAGCGUUAUCCGGAUUUACUGGGCGUAAAGGGUGCGUAGGUGGUCUUUCAAGUCGGUGGUUAAAGGCUACGGCUCAACCGUAGUUAGCCUCCGAAACUGGAAGACUUGAGUGCAGGAGAGGAAAGGGGAAUUCGCAGUGUAGCGGAGAAAUGCGUAGAUAUUGGGAGGAACACCAGGAGCGAAGGCGGCUUUCUGGACUGCAACUGACACUGAGGCACGAAAGCGUGGGUAGCAAACAGG